GGUAAGGGUAGGGUUUAGGUUAAGGUAAGGGUAGGGUUUAGGUUAAGGUUGUCCCACUGCCAAUUUGAAAAUAUCUGCAUUUAAAACGUUUAAACCUUUGAUAAUAUCAACAGGUAGAAUGUUCUAACUUUCAUCAACAAAAUGUAGAAAUGUGCCAUUUUCACAUAUGUAGACACCUGGUAUUGAGAUCAUGAAAAUGGGGUAUAAAUGUGAUGGAAUUGUUCUUUAACAUUGCAGGGGGAAUAUUUGCAUAAUGCUACGCAACGGAAUAUCUAGAAUUAGAACAAUAUUCAAAAUUCUAAAACUUGGAUCAGACAACUAACAUGUAGCAUUAACUUCUGAUCUUAGAUCAGAGGGAACGAAGUUGGCCCAACUCUCUAAACGCAUGUCUCUGCAGACAACUAACAUGUAGCAUUAACUUCUGAUCUUAGAUCAGAGGGAAUGCUUUUAUAUGGCACUACUCUUUCAUGUGUGUGUGUGUGUGUAUGGGGGUGAGCGAAAACAUACCUGCUCAUGUUUAAAAAUGCAGCUGUGUGUGUGUGUGUGUGUGUGUGUGUGUGUGUGUGUGUGUGUCUACGUGUUUGUGUGUGUGCAUGCAUUCUGCCACAGAUCAAUCUGUGUUUGAACAGUGAUUCAUUAAAAGCUGAUAAAACCACAAAGCCAGUCUGCAGGAAAUGACUGUCACCCUCACAGGUUUAGCGUUCUAGGGUGUCAGGCAGGCAGAGGGAUUCAGAAGCGUGAUGACUAAGGCCAUUUAUUAAGCCACGUUUAAUGUGUGGCAGAUGGAGAGAGAAAGAAGGAGAAGGGAAGGGGUUGCAAAGUAGGCUGUUAAGAGAGAGAGAGAGAGAAAGGAGAGAGAAAGGAGAGAGAAAAGGAGAGAGAGGAAGGAAGGAGAGAGAGAGAGAAAGGAGAGAGAGAAAGGAGAGAGAGAAAGGAGAGAGAGAAAGGAGAGAGAGAGCGAGAGAGAGAGAGAAGGGAAGGGGUUGUAAAGUAGGUUGUUAAGAGAGAGAGAAAGAGAAAGGAGAGAGAAAGGAGAGAGAGAGAGAAAGAGAAAGGAGAGCGAAAGGAGAGAGAAAGGAGAGAGAAAGGGUAGAGGAAGGAGAGAGGAAGGAGAGAGGAAGAAGGAGAAGGGAAGGGGUUGCAAAGUAGGCUGUUAAGCGAGAAAGGAGAGAGGAAGAGAGAGAAAGGAGAGAGGAAGAGAAAGAAAUUGAGAGAAAGGAGAGAGGAAGAGAGAAAGGAGAGAGAAAGGAGAGAGAAAGGAGAGAGAAAUUGAGAGAAAGAGAGAGGAAGAGAGAAAGGAGAGAGAAAGGAGAGAGAAAUUGAGAGAAAGGAGAGAGGAAGAGAGAAAGGAGAGAGAAAGGAGAGAGAAAUUGAGAGAAAGGAGAGAGAAAGAGAGAGAAAGAGAGAGAAAGGAGAGAGAAAGGAGAGAGAAAGGAGAGAGAAAGGAG
ensembl:lncRNA